AACGAACGCUGGCGGCGUGCUUAACACAUGCAAGUCGAACGCGAAAGGGGCUUCGGUCCUGAGUAGAGUGGCGCACGGGUGAGCAACGCGUAGAUAACCUGUCCUGGUGUCUGGAAUAACGUCUCGAAAGGGGCACUAAUACCGGAUAUUCUUGCUUUCUUCAAGGUAUGCAAGGAAAGGUGGCCUCUGGAACAAGCUACUGCACGAGGAGGGGUCUGCGUACCAUUAGCUAGUAGGUGGGGUAAUGGCCUACCUAGGCGACGAUGGUUAGCGGGUCUGAGAGGAUGAUCCGCCACACUGGCACUGGAAUACGGGCCAGACUCCUACGGGAGGCAGCAGUGAGGAAUAUUGCGCAAUGGGGGCAACCCUGACGUAGCGACGCCGCGUGAGUGAGGAAGGCCUUCGGGUCGUAAAGCUCUGUCAAGAGGGAAGAAGUGCAUGGUGGUUAAUAUCUGUCAUGUUUGACGGUACCUCUAAAGGAAGCACCGGCUAACUCCGUGCCAGCCGCCGCCGUAAAAC
rnacentral:rRNA from 1 species